ACAUAAACAUCGUUGCGAAUACACGCGUCUUCUCAUCAGGGUGCAGAAUGUGUUUGUAUAAAGUUCGGUGCCGCAUAUAAACAUGCAUAUCAGUACAGUGGUUUGAACAACGAAAUCGAUAUCUCAAGCCCUGAUAAGUCCCGUAAGUUAUCGGAUAAUAGGGGGGGGUUUGUUUCCAAUAUCCGUCCAGCCACGAGGCUGGCGAAUGUGACGGGGAAUUGCGGGGAUUCGCAUCGCGUCGCAAUGGUUAAAUAAUUGUAAACAGUCCUUGCCUUAUCCACAGAGCGCUCGCAGCUCGGUGGGGGCGACGAGGAGCGCGAAGCGGUCUAGCAGAGUAAGGAAUCAAAUAGUGGAGGGGGAAACGCCGUCAUGGCUGACAUGUGUGGAUUGUGUGGCCCGCAGGCGACGAAGUGAACAGGCGCGAGUGUUCCAGGUCCAUCCGCGUUGAAAACGCGCGUUUGUUAAGUGAAUAUGGAGAGAAAUGGGCCGGGGAUUGAACGUGGAAGUCGCUAGCGACCGACCGGCUGCCAGCCAGGGAGACAGAUGGGCGAAAUCUAACAGGAUGGAGCCCAGGGUGUGGAGAACUCGGCUCCGCGGCGUCGCGGGCAUCUGCCUGGUCUUGGCAUUGACGGGUAUCGUGUAUUUGGGAUACUUCUGCCCAGACCACGUUUGUGCCCUGACCAACCGUGACCUCAAGGAGUCCACGCGUCUCUCUGAGGGUUUCACAUCCGGGGUUGUCGACAGGAACUUCCAGGGUCACCCUUCCUUCAGACUUCAGAGCAUACAGGGCAGUCUCGCCUACGAGGAUGUCAUCAACAACACCUUUCAAUUCGACAUCAAUGCCCACGAUGUUAUGGUCUUUUUACACAUACAGAAAACUGGCGGUACAUUAUUUGGUAAACACCUGGUGCGCGAUUUGGACCUGCAAAGACCGUGCUCGUGUCAUAGGAGGCGAAAACGUUGCUCCUGUUUUCGUCCAAACCGGAACGAGAAUUGGUUAUUUUCCCGGUAUUCAACAGGCUGGAAGUGCGGCCUGCAUGCUGAUUGGACGGAAUUGACGAAUUGCGUUGAUUCAGAAUUAAAUAAGAUAGAACCAGAGGGAGUGAAGAGAAGAUAUUUUUACAUAACAAUCAUCAGAGAUCCGGUAGCGAGAUAUUUGUCGGAGUUCAGACAUGUGCAACGAGGUGCCACGUGGCGAGGAGCAAGACAUUGGUGCGGCGGCAUUCAGGCUAACAUACCUCAAUGUUAUUCCGAGCCAAAUUGGCAAGGAGUUACGUUAGAAGAGUUCAUGCAGUGUCCUCACAACUUGGCAAGUAAUCGUCAGACUCGGAUGCUGGCUGACCUAUCCAUCAUAGGAUGCUACAACUCGACGCUAAAUCGAACUGAGAGAGAUCGUCUCAUGCUUGAAAGUGCCCAGCGUAAUUUAUUAUCCAUGCCGUUCUUCAUGCUUACUGAGUACCAAAAGAGCAGACGGCAUCUCGACCGUAUUACAAUGAUGACAGAUCGUAAAAUUGGACGCGCCGCCGCUUCGCUUUAUGGAGGUACAUGGAUAGGAGUACAAAAGAAUGCGCCAUGGAAAUGAUUCAGCUGGAGGGAUUGGACGGGGAUUGGAAAUGCCUGCAACGAGGCGAUGAUCCCACAGUGGUUUUGUCGGGUCGGCUCAGAUUGAACCCUACCAACAACCAUGAAUCCGAAGAUCGUAAAGCCCGACAACGGAAUGCGAUACUAUCGCGUCAAGAUCUGCCCGAGAAACGAGCCGCGUUCCGUAUGCCGCACGUCAUGUCAGUCUCAACGCACUAAACGCUUCGAUUUCGUUCCAACAUCAACGACGUAAGCACUCAUCUUCGCUCCUGGAUUAAUGAAGGAUCCCGUCAACUGAUGCCAGGAUUUUGGCUUAAUGGCCGAUGGAUGACGCCGGAUUUAAAAUCGUCGCUUACGGAUUAUGCCGACGAUUUUAAGCAGAAUCAGCUAGUCGAAUUCCUCAGUCUGGAAACAACCGCGCAGCAGAGAGGACGUAUGAAAAUCGCGCUCCGCAGCUUUCGAGUACCAUGUUCUUUACUUCCUGGAUCCUGCGCUCCAGAUGCGCUACCUGGUGAAACUCCACUUCAGGAAUGAGCGCUCCAUAGUUUCCGCGCUUCAGGUCCGCUACCUGGUGAAACUCGACUUCAGGGACAAGCGCUCCGUAGUUUCUACGCUCCAGGUCUGCUACCUGAUGAAACUCGACUCUCGGAGGACAAGGAAGACAAGGAGAACAAGGUGGACGAAGAGAACGAGGAUUUCUGCACGGUCGUUAUCGGUGGGUGUUGGAGGUGGUCUGAGGUGAACAAGAAGGAGGACGAGGAAGACGUGGAGAACAAGGUGGGGGAGGAGUACGAGGAUUUGUGCUCGGUACAACCCAAGGUGGUUAUCGGUGGUCGUCGGUGGUCGUUGGAGGUGGUCGGAGGUGGACGAGGAGGAGG
rnacentral:misc_RNA from 1 species